UACGGAGGAUGCGAGCGUUAUCCGGAUUUAUUGGGUUUAAAGGGUGCGUAGGCGGAAUAUCAAGUCAGCGGUAAAAAUUCGGGGCUCAACCCCGGCCCGCCGUUGAAACUGGCAGUCUCGAGUUGGAGAGAAGUAUGCGGAAUGCGCGGUGUAGCGGUGAAAUGCAUAGAUAUCGCGCAGAACUCCGAUUGCGAAGGCAGCUUACUAAGCCAUAACUGACACUGAAGCACGAAAGCGUGGGGAUCAAACAGG
rnacentral:rRNA from 1 species